rnacentral:rRNA from 1 species
UCGGGAAUUUUGGGCAAUGGGCGAAAGCCUGACCCAGCAACGCCGCGUGAAGGAUGAAGUCUCUCGGGAUGUAAACUUCGUAAGAAUAGGAAGAAUAAAUGACGGUACUAUUUGUAAGGUCCGGCUAACUACGUGCCAGCAGCCGCGGUAAUACGUAGGGACCAAGCGUUGUUCGGAUUUACUGGGCGUAAAGGGCGCGUAGGCGGUGUGUCAAGUCAGUUGUGAAAUCUCCGAGCUUAACUCGGAACGGUCAACUGAUACUGUCACACUAGAGUACAGAAGGGGCAAUCGGAAUUCUUGGUGUAGCGGUGAAAUGCGUAGAUAUCAAGAGGAACACCUGAGGCGAAGGCGGGUUGCUGGGCUGAUACUGACGCUGAGGCGCGAAAGCUAGGGUAGCAAACGGGAUUAGAUACCCUUGUAGUCCCUGAGCGGGCUGGCAAGGCGCAU